CACGGGGGGAGCAAGCGUUGUUCGGAAUUACUGGGCGUAAAGGGCGAGUAGGUGGCCAUCUAAGUCAGACGUGAAAUCCCCCGGCUUAACCUGGGAACUGCGUCUGAUACUGGACGGCUUGAGUAUGGGAGAGGAACGUAGAAUUCCAGGUGUAGCGGUGAAAUGCGUAGAUAUCUGGAGGAAUACCGGUGGCGAAGGCGGCGUUCUGGACCAUUACUGACACUGAAUCGCGAAAGCUAGGGGAGCAAACGGG
rnacentral:rRNA from 1 species